GCGGCUGUGGCGGAACAGGCAGACGCGUACGUUUGAGGGGCGUAUGGGACAACCGUACCGGUUCAAGUCCGGUCAGCCGCACCA
rnacentral:tRNA from 2 species